GACCCAGUGGUGAACGGCUCACACCUGCUUUCUCUGUCCCUGCCACGAACACAAAUUUCCGCAGGAGCCCCCGGUUCGACUCUGGGCUGGGUCA